rnacentral:rRNA from 1 species
AGCGAACGCUGGCGGCAGGCUUAACACAUGCAAGUCGAGCGGGUGUAGCAAUACACCAGCGGCAGACGGGUGAGUAACGCGUGGGAACGUACCUUUUGGUUCGGAACAACACAGGGAAACUUGUGCUACUACCGGAUAAGCCCUUACGGGGAAAGAUUUAUCGCCGAAAGAUCGGCCCGCGUCUGAUUAGCUAGUUGGUGAGGUAACGGCUCACCAAGGCGACGAUCAGUAGCUGGUCUGAGAGGAUGAUCAGCCACAUUGGGACUGAGACACGGCCCAAAGUCCUAAGGGAGGCAGCAGUGGGGAAUAUUGGACAAUGGGGGCAACCCUGAUCCAGCCAUGCCGCGUGAGUGAUGAAGGCCCUAGGGUUGUAAAGCUCUUUUGUGCGGGAAGAUAAUGACGGUACCGCAAGAAUAAGCCCCGGCUAACUUCGUGCCAGCCGCCGCCGUAAGAC